rnacentral:sRNA from 1 species
AAAGACUUUUGUAGAAGAUAAUUAUUUUAGUGUGCGCUCUGGUCUAAUCUUUUUUGAAGACACACUUCGACACACAUCUCACUUGAAUCUAUCCAAUAAUAAAUCUUUCUUUUUAAAUCUUUCUUAAGGUCCUUAUGUACUACUGAUAAUGCAUGUCUUUAUUUCACAUUUCGAUCUAUUUUCAAAACAAAGUUUGAGUGCCGAGGCUCCCCUGAUAUUCUAGAGGUUCUAGACCAAUAAUUCUUCAACGUCUUUCUACAUUUCUGGCAGGCAGAAAUCAGCAAGAAAUUUUGACACUGGACUAUACGAUUAUUUGUUAUCAGAGUGGUUGUUAGGAAAGAUGUCAAAUAGACGUCGGCAUCGUUACAGCACUUAGAGGCCGGAAUCUAAGUUUAGAAAUGGAUUUUGUUUCUAGAUCAUGAAGAACCGAAGCUGUCGAUAAAAAAAAUGUGAUGUUUUUAAAGACCUAAUUUUUUUUAAUUUACGAUUUAUUUUCACAAGAUCACUUGUGUCCUUCAUUCUUAGGUCAACCCUGCUGCUACCAGACCAUCUCAGACACCAAUGACGAAACUGUCCCUCAACUUUCUUUCACACAGUCUUUCUCGUCGUGCCAAGAGCUAUGUUUAAAGUUGGCCCAGUGCCGGGCUGUGGUAUUUACUGGCACUACCUGCCAACUGUAUACGUACAUAGAGCAGACCUCGUCAAAGCCUGGUUACACGAUGUACAUUAAACCAGACGGAGUGUCAAGUGACUACAGUGUUUCUGAUGUUUGUCUGAAAGGAUCCAGCACAACGCCAUUGAUUCAUCUCAUUAUUUUAGCAGUUGCUUCUGUGUUUCUUCUCAGAAGAUCUAUACUCCGCUGACACCAAUGUAAUGAUUACAACAAAAGUACAGAAAACAGCAACACAAAAUAUUGGAAGAAAAUAUUUACCGCUUAAAAAAACAUUUUUACCAGAUGAACAUUUGAUCAUCUAAAUCAUGAAACCAAAGUUGUAUACAAAAACUUGUUUUUCUUUUACACAUGUGAUAUUUUACACAUUUAAAAAAAUAUUAUCUAAUUGUUUUACAUUAUAACAUACUUAUACUAGAUAAGAUACAAGUAAUUAUUUUAUAAAUUAUCUUAUUUAUUUAAUUUUUUUACAUGUUUAUUUUCUAUUCUCACAUCUGUGAUAACUAAGGAGUGAUUCUAUCUGGUAUCUUUGGUACACAUAGACAUUGGCUGCAGACGUUUUCUUUCUUAUCUAACUUAUAUCAUUUGCAGCCAAUAAGAAAAAACUUUAACAUUUGUUGUAAGAUAUAGAAAGUUUUUAGUUUUUAUUAGUUGAUAUGGCAAAACAAGCAACAAUUAUACAAGAGAAAACCAAAUGCAUUAGGAUUUUAGUAAAACAAAUGUAAGGGCUGCGAUUUAAAUUGCCUUUUUGUGUCCUAGAAAUAUCUGGGGGGGGGGAUCUCUAAGUAUCACAAAAACAUGUUUCUUGCUGUUUCCUAGAAAUAUCUGGGUUUUUUUAUCUCUGUGUAUCACAGAAACAUGUUUCUUGUUGUUUCUUAGAAAUAUCUGGGGGUUUUUUUUAUCUCUAAGUAUCACAGUAUCCUAGAAAUAUCUCUUUUUAUCUCUAAGUGUCACAGAAACAUGUUUUUUUUCUGUGUCCUAGAAAUAUCUAUUGUUUUUUUUUAUCUCUAAGUAUCAUGUUUCUUGUUGAACUUCUUUUCAGCCUUUUUUUUUAGCCUGAUCGUUAGUUACACUUUCAAUUAAUUCUUUUCGCCCAUAAUAAUAAUUGAAAGAAAUAGCCCUCAGCAUCAGUUCAUACUUUGUAGGUUUGAUUACGCCAGUCUGUUCAGAAAGACCUUAUAAUUGAGUCUGUUAAUUAAAGUAAAUAGAUCGAAAAAUUCCGUAAAACAUGUCUCACUAUCGAGGGGCAUGGGAAUGUAAGAGGUCAAGUCUCCUACCAGUUCUUGCCCUGACCUAAUCCAGUCAUCAAGCAACUUUUUAACACUGACUCUGUUGUUAUUGACUAGACUUUGUUGUUAUUGACCAGUCUCUGUUGUCAUUGAUUAGACUCUGUUGUUAUUGACCAGACUCUGUUGCUAUUGACCAGACUCUGUUGUUAUUGACCAGACUCUGUUGUUAUUGACCAGACUGUGUUGUUAUUGACGGUCUUUCUCGCCCUUUUACCUGUAUGGAAUCUUUGAUUAAAGUGUUGCCUUAUAGAGCUCUUUUAUAUGAGAAGAACAAAUAAUCAACAACCAAAAAAGUCUAGUAUUCAAAAAGUCUAGUAUUUGAAAAGUCUAGCAUUUCAAACGCUAGUUGUUUUUGUUUUUGAUAUUUUUUGUUCUUCUCUUUGGUUCAACUGUUCCCGCUGCUGUUUGUUAGUUUUCCCAUAGCGAGACCACAUGAAGCAGAUGAAGAGAUAAAAAAUGACUUUAGGAUAAAAAGAAUCUCAUUCAACCGUAGUAGAGUUAUCAGAUUGGCAAUCUAGACUCUCGUAGUAAAGUGAUUUUUUUGUUCCUGCGUCUAGCUCUAUAUUCCAUUCCAAACAUCUUGUGAUCUAGGGCCCAUUGAAUACAUGACAAAGCACAUUGUUAAUGCUAAUCAUCCAAGGAACGAAUAUAUUUAGCAUGGGUGGAUCUAGAAGUGUGUCGAUAGAAUCAAAGGCUUUGGAAUACAUUAAAUUAAAAGAUUAUGAUUUAAAUCUCCAACUGAAAAACACAAAUCUCUGUGUGUAUGUGUAUUUAUAAAUAUAGAUGAGAAAUAUUUCAUUUGAAAGCUUCAUAAUGCUCUCAUUUCCAUAUUGAGAUUAGCCAUUUUCGACCUGCCAACCAUGUUUAGUCCAUAAAUUUGCAAGCUAAUUAGAGGAUUUCAGAUUCCAAAUUUAUGGUAGACCUCUGGGUGGACGCAGUUCUCGAUAACGGCUCUUUUUCAAAGAAAGUAGACAGUUAAUGUAUAUCUUUGGGGAAAGAGUUACUAGCUAAUUGGCCACACAGGAAAAACUCGUGUUUGAUGGACGAACUGAUUGACCGAACAAAACUAACAGCAUUUUUCCCCUUUCGUGAGCCGCCAAAAAUAUUGUUUUCUUAAAGACUAUUUCUCAUUAUUCAAGUUGAUAACUGUUUCGUCAGAUUGAAUAUUUUACUACAAAUAACUGAUGAUUUUUAAAAAAACCUGGUUGGGCGUAUGUAUGCAGUUAGAAUAUCAACAAAUAUAUUGAUAGGUCAGGAGAUCUAGACUUUGAAGACCGUCACAAAAUGUUCCUGAACGUCCAUUAAUUUAUUAACCUAUUGAAUGAAUACCCGAAGACAAAUUCUGUUCAGUUCAAUAGUUUCUAGUCCUCUAGCCAAAUGGAAAUAAUUUUUGUAUUCUUUGAAAGAUUAUAAAACAGUUACACUUUAGUCAUUCUUGUCUCAAAUAUAUAUAGCAACUGUCCCAUUUCUGAGAAAAUCAUUAGAGCCUUUUUUGAGAACCAUGACCAUCCACCCAGAUUUUAGAAGAUUUUUAAAAUAUGUUUUUGGACCCAAUGAAUUGGAAAACUAAAUUUAAGGAAUUGUAAAGUUACAUUUUUAUACAAACUACGUUGAGACAUAAUGUUUUAUACAAACUACGUGAAGACUUAAUGUGUGAUACAAACUACGUUAAGACUUAAAGUGUGAUACAAACUACGUGAAGACAUAAUGUGUGAUACAAACUACGUGAAGACAUAAUGUGUGAUACAAACUACGUGAAGACAUAAUGUGUGAUACAAACUA